GCCCCUUUCUUUUUUGCACCACUGCAGACUCUGGGGCAUCUGGAGAAAGCUGUAGUCUUGGAAUUAACUUUGAAACACUUAAAAGCUUUAACCGCCUUAACCGAGCAACAGCAUCAGAAGAUAAUUGCUUUACAGAAUGGGGAGCGAUCUCUGAAAUCGCCCAUUCAGUCCGAUUUGGAUGCGUUCCACUCGGGAUUUCAAACAUGCGCCAAAGAAGUCUUGCAAUACCUCUCCCGGUUUGAGAGCUGGACACCCAGGGAGCCGCGGUGUGUCCAGCUGAUCAACCACUUGCACGCCGUGGCCACCCAGUUCUUGCCCACCCCGCAGCUGUUGACUCAACAGGUCCCUCU
rnacentral:sRNA from 1 species